GUGUCAGCCGCCGCGGUAAUACGUAGGGUGCGAGCGUUGUCCGGAAUUAUUGGGCGUAAAGAGCUCGUAGGCGGCCUGUCGCGUCGGUUGUGAAAGCCCGGGGCUUAACCCCGGGUCUGCAGUCGAUACGGGCAGGCUAGAGUUCGGUAGGGGAGAUCGGAAUUCCUGGUGUAGCGGUGAAAUGCGCAGAUAUCAGGAGGAACACCGGUGGCGAAGGCGGAUCUCUGGGCCGAUACUGACGCUGAGGAGCGAAAGCGUGGGGAGCGAACAGGAUUAGAAACCCCCGUAGUCC
rnacentral:rRNA from 1 species